ACUCAAAGGAAUAGACGGGAGCCCGCACAAGCAGUGGAGUAUGUGGUUUAAUUCGAAGCAACGCGAAGAACCUUACCAAGGAUUGACAUCCACGGAAUCUCGGGUAAUGCCGGGAGUGCCCUUCGGGGAGCCGUGAGACAGGUGGUGCAUGGUUGUCGUCAGCUCGUGUCGUGAGAUGUUGGGUUAAGUCCCGCAACGAGCGCAACCCUUACGGUCAGUUGCUACGCAAGAGCACUCUGGCCGGACUGCCGUUGACAAAACGGAGGAAGGUGGGGAUGACGUCAAAUCAUCAUGCCCCUUAAGACUUGGGCUACACACGUACUACAAUGGCGCUAAACAACGGGAAGCGAAGCGGCGACGCGGAGCAAAUCCCCAAAAGGCGCCCCAGUUCAGAUUGCAGGCUGCAACCCGCCUGCAUGAAGUCGGAAUUGCUAGUAAUCGCGAAUCAGCAUGUCGCGGUGAAUACGUUCCCGGGCUUUGUACACACCGCCCGU
rnacentral:rRNA from 1 species